AGCUGGGACAUCAACCUUCUUUUUCUCUCAUGCUUCUUGUUCUCAGGACUUCAGCUUAGAGUGCAAUCUACACUGUCAGCUCUCUGGCUCUCCAGCCUUCAGACUACACCACCGGCUUUCCUGGGUGUCCAGCUCGCAGACAGCAGAUGCAUAGCUCCCUGUGACUGACACAUUCCUCAGAGUAUGCUGUGAUCUGAGGGAGAUACAUUCAGAAGAAGGACUCCCAGGCAGGUGGAUAGGAAUGACCCGAAUGUUAAAAUUUAGAUCGUCUCUCCGCAUCCCUUCCAAGAGCUGGCAAUGAGCCUACAGUGUAAUUCAGAACCCAUUGCAACCUUCCAUGAUGUGUGAACUGUCAGAGAAAGUGCCUCCUCCUUCCUUAUCUAAUGGCAUAUUAUGUCUGAUUAGGGAGGUAAAAGAAGGCUGUGUAUGGAAGUGUAAAGCAAUAUAAAAUUGCCAUCUGUAAAAGAAUCUACGAAGAGGCUGCAAGCAGAAUAUUUGCAAUCCCCAAGACCAUGGAUGCUGAUUUUUGCCAGAUCCUCAGGCACAUCUUACCAGCUUUGGAUUUCUCCUGGUGGAGCACUAUUUGGGUAACACACUCUUAGACUUUCCUGGAAGAAAAUGGAACAAAAUUCACACCCAGAAAAAUUUUUAGGAUCCUGGAAUUAGAUAAAAUUAGGCAGGUCUUAGAGGGCAUACUUUUCAUAACAGUUUAUGUAGCUUUGUUUGCUAGCUAACACAAAAAUAACAACAACUGUAAGACAGACAAGAAACUCAAAAAGCUCUAAUGCGUUAUUGAAGCACCGUGACUGUGAGAAUUCCUCUGCUUGGAAUGGCUUGCUUGCAGCUGUUGAAUGGUGGUGUUAAGUUGCCUGUGAUUUGCAGUAAUGUGCCACCACGUUUCAGUCCAUGGGUGCUCAGUAGUGCGAAUGAGGUGUUGGAUGCACCCAGAGGUGGUGUCGCCUGUUCAGAAUGUGAGAGGGAAGUGGGAGGGGGCAGGGCAGAGGAGGAAGCAUGGGCUGUUCCGCACAGGUAGAGGAAAGGUGUGUUUUAUGCCAGGGAGAAAGGGACAUGGGGAAAUGUGGUAUCUGUUAGCAUGAGUGGAAAAGAGCCAAGUGCAGUAAAGAAGUAUUUUUCUGAUUAAGAAAUGAUCAUCUGCAGUGAACGUUUAUGGCUAAUAAUGAUUUAGAGAAGGAAGAGCUUCAGGUCACACAGGACAUUGGAAACAGACCUUCUGAUAUUUCUUUCUAGGGCACCACAGCCUGAUUCACUCUCUAGAGCUGCUCUGAUCAAUAUGGCAGCCCCUGGCCAUAUUGAUCCUACAAACUCUGCUUUGACUAAGUUCUAGAAGAAGGGGAGUAGAGGGGGAGAGAAGAGGUUUGCUUCUGAGGGAGGGAAGCAAAUGCAGCCUGUGAAACAAUGUUCUCUCCACUCUCCCUUGAACUACUCAGCAUGUUUCCUGUUUAACCUUGGGAAUUAUUUACAAAACUGAAAAGUUUCACUUGGCUAACUGAAAGUAGUUGUUGUUUUUUUAAAAAAAGAUGUGUGGUGCUUUUAUCAUUUUAGAAAGAUAAAGCUAAAUUCUUUCAGCCUUUAUUUAGAGAUAAACCUCUAAAUCCUGGUACACACAUAUUUUUUAAUCUCACCCCAAGGAAAUAGCAUUCUGAUCCUUCAUGAGUCAUCAUUCAAAUUCAAGCAAACAUCCUGCUGGUUUAGUUCUCUAACCUUAGUGUCCAAAAGGUAUUUCUAUUUGGCGAAUCACCUUGGGAGUUUCCCACCUCUCCUUCGGGCAUCACCUUCUCUUCUGGGCGACAGUCGUGCAGAUUACACUGUUCCACCAAGAGUGCCUGUUCUAUCACUGUGAACACAUUAACAUACCAUGCAUGAUCAUUACAGAAGGCACUAUGGGAACCACUUGGUGAAAGGUGCUUUGUAAAAAAUAAUGCUACAUAAAUGGAAGAUCAUUAUUACUAGAUUAGCUUCUGUCUUUCAGACUAAUUAUUUCACAGUCUUCCAGAAUGCACUGCAUUUGCCAUCUGCUGGCCCAAUUACCUAAAUGAUUGAGAUUCCUUUAAACCUGGUCACACAGCUCCUCAUUCUUCUUUGCAACUCCCAUUUUAGUGUUGUCAGCAGAUUUUAGAGCCCUGUUGUUCAGAUCCUUGUCAGAGCCACUUAGCUUUAUGAUGCGUGGCAGUGCUCCUUGAAGGAGCCAGUGACUCUCCUUGCUAACUCAAAGUUGAAGGCAAGGGAGGCUCACUUUAGUUUCUUAAUCUAGUAUUUGCUUAGUUUUUGUCAUCUACUAUUUUGUUCUCUCUCUUAAAGCUUUACAUGGAGUCUUUUUGAAAAAUCAAAUAAAGCUACAUAACACCUGCUUUCUUACAUUUCUUCAUCAACUUCGAUGGAGGUGAAUAAAUUUUGACUUCUUGGCCAUAUUCUUUAAAAAUUAAAUUCUGGAAAGUUAGUUAAGGAUGAUUUCUUUCACAUCUGAACCCUUUUUGCUUAAGCCAUUUUUUCUACAUUGUUUGCUUUACUAGUUUUCAAAUACUAUUCUUUUUCCAGAUUAGGUCUCUAGAAGAAAUUUUAAUUUGUAUUCUAAAUUUCCAUGGUUUGUUUAAUUCUCUGGUAGAUAUGUAUAUGCAUGUUUAAAUCAAUCUGAAUUAAGCUUGAAAUUGGACAUUGAGCAGAGAAUCGUGGCAUGGCCACAGGAAUCCCCACUCUUACCACAGGGCAUAGGCAGUUGCAAGUGGGCACUAAAUGCUUUGGUGUUGAGUUUUCAGGUAACUCAGGUUUAUUUUGGACACUGCCAUUGCCAGGACCUCUCCUCUUCUUGCAGAUAUUCUACUCUUUACUCUGCCUUAUUUGUUAAUACAAAACAGUGAUUUCAAAUCAAAGUAAAUAAUAUCAUUGGUGGCUCCAUGCUGUAUGCCAGUCAUAGGCUUAAUAACUAUGGAUGAUACACAGCAUUUUUAAAAAGUAUCACUGCAUGUUCCAUUGCCAUAGUCAAAUAACAAUGAAAGCCUUAAAUAUCAGUUUUUGAUAUCAAAACACUUCAUGGUUAAUUGGUGAAUUAGUCAUGCAAACAGUAAUUACUGCAGGAAAUCUAAGAAGGGAGAGAUCAAUUUAAAAAUUAUUUUUCAAAAUGAAAUGGAUUUUAAUUGUUUUUUAUGCUUGCAGACAUAAUAUGCACUUAUUAUAAACAGUAUGCAGAGAUGCUAAAAAGAAUGAACCAGAAGUCAUCUGUAAUUUCUACAUAGAGGUAACCACUAUUAACAAUUUAGGAUAUAGCCUUCUAGGCUUUUUUUUUUAGUUGUUGUUGUUCUAUAGUAACAUAUCAGUUAGUCUUUGCUUCAUUACAAACCAUCUCAAAGCUUAGUGGCUUGAAAUGCUAACCAUUUAAUAAAUGAUUCUGUCAACAAAAAGACUCAAACUCUGUAAAAUGUUUGAAAAGAUUUAUUCUGAGCCAAAUAUGAGUGACCAUGGCCUGUGAC
rnacentral:lncRNA from 10 species